UUAAAGUCGAAUAGCUGACAGUUCUAUAAUGACUAUUUCUUAUCGAUUUCAACAAAUUUCAAGAAAUAUUAAAAGUUCGCUACUGAAACAACGUUGCUAUUUUUGGAGCUCGAAUAACAAUAACAACUCGAUUAAAGAGAAGUUAGAUUGUUCGAGUUUCGAUUUUACCUUCAAAAGAAUGAUAUCGAUUUUGAGAAAUCUUCUUUCGAAAACUGCUGAUGCGCAAGUUUGCGCAGUUUUUUUAGUAAGAACAUCACAUCGAUGGAAUCGCACGUGUACGUUGCAUUCCGGCAACCUUGAGGCACCAUCAUUUUGCGUUUUAGCUUUUCCGUGACUGGCUGGAACGAAUAAACACGAAAUGUGUCUAAACAGUUCUAGGGCCACGUGAUCCAGGAAUUCGAAUAGUAUUAAUAUCUUCAUUGAUAUUCGUACUUAAUUUAGCGGGAAUUAUGUUCCUUGCAGAUAACUGUUAACACUAAAACUACUAAGGUCAACUUACAUGCAUUCUAUAUUUUACUCUAUACACAACUCCGUUUUUGUAAUUAGAGAACUUGUACGAUUGGAUCGUGCUCAAUGGCCGUGGUCUUCAGCGUCUCCGAUUGUUUUAUUUGCGCGAGGAAUUAAUGCCCCGCUCGGUGGCUCCGCGGGACGGUCUCGUUACCGAAAUCAAACGGAAUGUACUAUUCCCAGCUUUUACCCGGCCCUGGAAUUUUUCCGACACACCGUGUAUAGAUUUUUGGCAGAGUCCUCCGCUUCUUCUUCUUCUUCUUCUUCCCAAGCGACUUUUCGUUUCUUGACGCUCUAGAUCCCCGUCCACGUGCAAACGGCGCAGACUCGACUCCGUUCUCUCUUCCUGUGGCGAAGGUGUGUUUGCCAGCCAGAAGGCCUUCAGUCUGACGUUAAACGUUCAAUUCCGCGGAUGGCUGUUGCGCGGCUUCGACAGUACGAAACACCCACGCGUCCGCCCGUUACGUUUUCCCCCUAAACGUUUUCGAUUUCGAUCGGCGAUCCCGCGUCCGCAAUUUCCUCUCGACGGCCGUCUUUGUCCGUUUCGUCGCGCGUAUCGUGCGCCAGUGACGAUUUCGACUCGUUCGGAUAUCGAUCAAUUCCAUCCCUCGCAGACUCACCUUCCGAGACGCGUGACACCUUUUGCGCCACUGUCUUUCGAUCGAACGUAUCACGAACAUGUAUUCGGAGAAGUGAUUCAUUGCUAUGGCGAACCUUUAACUUCGUUCGCUUAUAAUUAUAGUUCACCUGUCGCGAUGAUCAAUUUUCGCUCGGCCUGCUCACCGCGAUGCUCUUUCCAAGUUCCAUUCUUCCAUUUUAUAACGUCGAAGUGUGCCGCGCGGAAUAUAGGGAUACCCCAACGAGUCGGGCUGUUCAUUUCGCCAGACAUUCAUCAACAAGUUCGUGAAUUCGCGUGUGAAACCAGUUAUCGUCGUGGCAAUAGUUUACUGUGAAGGGAUGAAAAGGGUGUUACCUAAAAAUUGAACGGCGCGCCUCGAGUCCCGUCGAUUUCCACGUGCGCCUUAAAAUCGUUGGUGUAUUCGAAUUGUUUUCGGAAAAGAAAAGAUACAUGGGAUUAUUGACCUCGUCGAGAACAACUACAGUGUUCACUUUUACUUGACGGAGCAUGAAAAGCACGUCGUGGCUUUUGAGUCGAGGCUCGAUAAAUAAAUAACCCGUUGGCGGUGGUGUCUUCGUCAUUGUGCGUUUAUUACUGGAUUUAACGAAACGACGCUAAUUCGUGAUAUCGUUCAUAUCGAGCCACUAACACGGAUACGUUUGCUUCUUAAAAAUACAACAGGAGGUGUCGGUGUACGAGACAGAGAGCUACGUCGAUUUUACUCUUUGGAAGAAUACAGGUACCAUUGAUGUCUACGUACGACUGUAUGCACAAGGCAGCGUAUCACCCGCACUCGAUGUCGCUUCUAUAUCUAGGGGGUUGAUUAAAGUGAUGAAGGAGCGGCUUCGAUAAGGCUUAGCUUGAUCGACGUCGAUUAAGUUCUCGUUUAUACUCGGUACACCUUGCCAGCCACUAUUCGAUUACUUCGGAUAAAUGAAAAACCUGGACAGAUCCAGCUGAAAUUUUCCCGAUCGUUACAGAUGCGAAAGUGGGACACCGAUCGACGGGAAAAUUGAAUCACGGGAAAUCUAAUGCGAUAAUGAACUUAUUGGUCCGUAAUCGGAAAAUGUUUAUACGAACGAAUACAUGAAAAGAAUAAUUGAAAAUUGGAACGGUGAUUUUCAAACAAGAUCUAAAUUAAAAUUAAAAGGAAUGCUUGUAUCGAAAUAUUAAAUAAAUGAUUACGCUUUGCAUCGUCGGGAGUUAAAUUAAAAGUUCAUCGGAGUACACGUACACACACCGAAAAGCAGUUCAUGGAGCGAAUAAUAAAGAUCGGGUAAUAGAGGAGUGGCGCCGAUUACGUUAAACUGUGACGACAAUUUAAUGGAAAACUAAGUAAAGCGUACGAAAACCUACAUCACAGCUAUUUCCGAAACACCUUGUACAUUGAAAUCUCUACUCAAAUUUAACCAUUUACAGAGCUCUCUUAUAGAAGUCAUUGUGCACGUUCUCGAUGUUCAUAUCGUUUUAAGAAAAUUUUUAGUUAUCGUUAUCCGAUCGCCUCGCACAAAAAUUAU